CCAAACUUUCGUUGCCUAGCAACAACAGGACUCGCCGCCACCGCGAGCUAGUUCAACUUCAGUGCAGCAGAGCCAGGCAAGGACUUCCUCUGGAUGGUGGCAGAUUGACAACCUCACAUCAGUGAACAUGAAUCUCAUAACUGAUUGGAAAAAUAAACAAAGUUUUGCACACAAUGUG